GCCUGGUUGGUUCAGUCGGCAGAGCAAGCAACUCUUGAUUUUAGGGUUGUAGGUUCAAGCCCCACAUUGGGUA
rnacentral:tRNA from 1 species